CCAUAUGUGUUUACUUUACAGUUUCAGACUCUUUGUUUAACUUCAUGUUCAGUAAUUUGUGCUAAAUAUUUCCCUUCCUUGCUCCUGAUUAUGUUGUGGACCCCUACCCAUAUUCCCUUCUAUGUGCCUGAGUUAGGGUUUUGACUUGACAGUAUCCUAAUUACUGUCCAGGCCAUAACCUAAUCAACAAUGGAUCCUAACUCUCAUUGCUUGGCUAACAAGCUGGUCAGGGGUGUGUUUGAAUUCCAAUUGCUGGGGAUGACCACCAGCCUGCGAUGCCUCUCCUUGAUCCCUUUUCCCCUGAGCACUUACACUUAUUGCUAUACUCUUAAGUUCUGCCCCUCUCUUAUGAGCCUUGCUUUGGAACCUUGAGUUCCCUCUGAACUUGAACAUUUGAGGGCUGGUCAUUCACACUGCACUAUGAUCUUAAUUCUUCAAUGUAUUUGGGGUGUAAGCACUGCCCGGAGCACUUUGAGGCCCUUGGGAACUUUGACACAUCCAAAAUAUGAGAAAGGCUUUGGGAAAUGUGAUCCUGGAAGUUGAUUUAUCUCAUAUUUUUUGGACUUUGAGUCUGAAUUAGGCUAUUUGGAUGUAGCUGGAACUUUUGAUGUAAUUUUACUUUUCCUUUUUUUUGGGUCAUUCCGGGCUGUAAUAAUUUGUAAUAACUUAUGGG
rnacentral:lncRNA from 1 species